GGACAGCACACUCCUUGGAAUCGUGGAAUGGUGGUGUUCUUGUGAUGGUUUCUGGUUCUGUGCAAGUGAAGGAUUUCAGUGGAAGGAGGAAAUUUGUGGAAACGUUUUUCCUUGCACCUCAGGAGAAGGGCUAUUUUGUCCUCAAUGAUGUUUUUCACUUCAUUGAUGAGGAACAAAUUCACCACUAUCCAGCUGUCUUACGAGACCAGAACAAUCUUGAAUCCAAGCUUAAUGCUCCUACUGCUAUUCCAGAGCCGGUUCCAAAUUAUAUGUUGGGUGGAGAAAUCCAGGCUAGGGAAUUUGCUGCUCCCACUGAAGCCAAGGAAAAUGGUCCAGUUGACAACUACGGUUUUUCAGAGCAACAAUUGCAGCAAGUUCCUGAGUCUGAAAAUGUUCGGGAGGAAAAUUCUGUGGAGUCAAAUGGUUCAAUUCAAAACACAGUAAAUACUGCACAGGACCAGCUGUCAGCUUCUGUUGAGGAACCUAUUGGAGAGCCCCAGAAACACACUUAUGCUUCCAUUUUACGGGUAGCUAAGGGACAAUCUUCGCCAUCAGUUGCUCCCCAACCUUCUUUUAACAAGAAUGCCCAACCUACUUCAGAUUGGAAUCAUGCUCCACAGCCCAUUUCUCAGCAAGCAACUGUGACAUCAAAUUCAUUUGAAAAGCCUGGAGAAGAAACAG
rnacentral:misc_RNA from 1 species